UCCGACAUCUCGCCUAAGUUUCGAACAUGGAAAACAGCAAACAGCCUACCCGUCGAUUUGCUUGAUAAGCUAGGAGCAAUUUCAACAUGAUCCGUUGCUGUGAGUGGAUAUGUUGGUUCCUGUGUGGGAGGAGCCGUAAAGCGUCACAGAUAAAGAAAGACAUAAGAAAGAUCAACAGCGUCAUGUUAGAACUCAGCUGUAGGCUUGAGACGCUUGAGCAAACCCGCAAGUGCCAGGAGAUCGUUGUCAACAUGUACACAAGACAGCUUGUUAUAAUUGAAAGGUGAGCUUGUAGGCUUUCAAUUAGCGCUCGGUUAUAUUGCUCAAGUCGUGAACUCUCAGAAAUACCAGAAAAAUCUUUUUUUUAAUAAUAAUGAUAUAAAUAAUAGUGAAACAUCUAAAAAUAUAUUUCGCCGUUUGGCCUUCUUCUGAUGCAGGUUUAUAUUACGUUUCGUGCUUUCACGCCUGUAGAAGCGCCUGUAGAAGAACUACGGUUGCUCUAAACACUAAACAAACUUCAACUCAUUUAGUUGUGUAACAAUAGGAAGCGGCUUCAGAUUCGUUCUUCUUUCGCUAGCGAUACUUCCAUUUUCUUCUAACUGGUAUCUAUCGUAACGAAAUUUCACUUGAGAUUUUAGGAUCAAUUAUUUGAACAGUGUUUCUAAACGGUUCAUCUCGUCGAGGAAUAAUUGAUAGAAAUAAAAAGGUCUUAGGAUCAAACACCUUUAUCCGGUUGGACGUAAGUAUGUAGAACAUACAUAAAAUUUGAUUUGAACUACUCUGUUCUUAAGUUAAACAGUAAAUCUUCUUUGUUUUCGUUUCGUUAUGAAGUGUGCUAUACCGUUGGAAUGGUUUUCUGGCUGUACAAGGCCGUUAUCACUGUUGUGGUAGGACCACAAGAUUUUACUCAUAAUUUUGGGUAUAGGGAUGCGUAUGCUGGGCGAAAAAGAAGUGAAUUUUACAGAUUCCAAACUGCCAAGUGACCCAAGAUAUUUUACACCCUGCAAUGAAGAUCCUGUGAGUAAGAGAUAUUGGCUCAUCUAACAAUUAUCUUUUUUCAAAGUGGUUUGCGGCGAUCCUCGUCGAAGACGAGUGAAGCACGUUCUUUAGGCCCAUAAGACCAUUUAUACAAAUAACUUUUUUCACUCACACAGGUUGUGUGGUAUGUUUCAUUGACGAGACUUGAAGCAGCGACUUCUGAUCUCUUCCCGGAGCCUUGACCGUCUAAGCCUCCGCAUCGACAGCAACUUAUGGACCCAGUUAGCCAUUUCUGGGUAAUAUUGUCAGCUGUAUAGACCUCGUGGUAUAUGGCACACCUGUCUCAACUUCUUUCGGUAACUUUCUCAUCUAGGAGAAGGACGAAUGAGAAGUGAUGCCAACGAGAUUUACCACCUUACACACCUACCUCUACCAGCCCGAAGUCAGACUAAAAUGAUGUCUGGACUAAAAUGUCCGUGACCCGAACAGAAUAUAUAUUAGUAUUCUGGUAGCACCAUCGGACAGCUCGGAAGCUAUUAAAGCAGAUACGACCUAUACACCAUAAGUUAUAAUGUAAAACCUUAUAGGCGCAUUUUUUAUAAUUAGAUUAAUGCAAUGAAAAAAUCUAAAGUCUAACAAAAAAAAAAAAGCUAAAGCAACACAAAAUUUAUGAAAGGGUAGCCUAAGCAAUUCUUUUUUACAGGCUUCAUAGUGCCCAAAACGAAUAAAAGCUAAGAUAUAAUUAUUAAUGCGAACAUUCAUUUCUACAGCUCUAUAUACAGCAUUACUAUGUUAUUUUGUUUGUCUGUCUGUUAGAACUACAUCUUUGAUAUAUGACUUAUGCGCUCUGAAACAAAUCGUCUUUUAUUAAGUAUUGAGGGUUCCCAGGGAAAAUUUUAUAUACUUUGCUAUAAUGGAUCUCGUCUUCACCCUUGAGCUUGCCUGAAAUGCCUAUAUUUAGGAGAAGGUCAGCAAAAGAUAUUCAGCUGACAAAGGCUACGAGCAAUCAAUGUCUGGAUUAACGGAACAGAAACGACGAAUAUGCGAUGCGUAUAAGAAGGCGAAAAGCGAAUUAGAUGAAAUCGUCAGCAAGCAAAUAAGUACGAAAAAAGAGUAUGACACUAGUCAGCAGGAGGUGGCUAACCUCGCUGACCUCCUGCAGCACCUUCAGGCGGAGCCAACAACGGGUGCUCAGUAGAAGUUUUUGCGGAGUCCGAUUGUCGGUAACAUUGUGAAGAGACUUCCUACCAAGCCUAACAGAAACCUGGAGACAGAGGCAACAAAAUUAACGAAUAUUUAGGUGUCGUGCCUUUUUGUGCACAAAAUAAAUCCCGGUGGUCCGUCUCACUUAUUUUGAAAGCGGGUUGUGUGCAGUGAUGGGUAGAAUGGCGAGUGAUUUGUUCAAGCUUUGGAAAACGAAAAUGCUCCUAGAUAUUCUACGAACAUAUGCCGUAACAGCUGUAACCUUGUAUUUAAAAUAUAUGGACGAUUUUGAACUCACACAGGGCAAUUGUAUUGCCUAAAAUACUCUGCAAGUUCAGUCUAUUAUAGACCUGUAAUAAUUUGUUAUUGCCUGCUAUUACUUUUAUACUUCGACGACGAAACCAAAGAGCUGUCAAGUGCAGCAUGUUUAAGACCAUCAAACGAAAUAAACAGAUAUGAGUAGGAUAAAAAAAUAAAAGGAUGCUACAUAUAUGUAAACAUAUUUUCCAAAGAACGCAAUAAUUAAUAAAUGCUUGAUAGAGUA